CUAUGAAGGGUUCCCUCACCCAUGCGAUCUGUGUAUCGCAGUGCGCGAGAGGGUUCCCCCUCAGGAAUGGGGACCUCGGACUCCCUAAAAAUCAGGGUAUACAACAUCCCAUAUGGAAGGGUGAGCCUAGGUUUGUCAAGUGGCUCACAUAGGUAUUUGUAGAUCAGCUUAGGAAAGUUAAUUGGGGUAUCUUGGAGAAUAUAGUACAUUAGGGCUAGGUCCCUCUCGGAUACAAAGUCAAAGCGGCCGGUCUUGAGAAAGAGGGUCCUAGAUAUAAUACUCAGGAGGAGCCGCAUUUCAACUGAAAGCUGACUAGCGGACACCUCAUCUAGUGGGGAC
rnacentral:lncRNA from 1 species